GUGUCUUGUGUCUGAAUUAUGCCCGAGUUCAGACCGAAUUCGUUUGAAAUAUGACGAUAGAUCACGAUUCAGAUAGCGGUGUGUAUCAUAUCUAACAUAUGCCAAUUAACAAAAUAUAACCUUAAUGAGUUAACCACGUCAACGAAUUAAACAAACUUAGAAGAUCCAAUGUUACAGAUGAUGCUUUGGAAAGGUAUUGUGACAAUUGUGUUGCUAAUGGCAUCCGCCGUGCAAGCCGACUUCUCUUGCAUCUGUAACUACAAUGUCGAGAGCACAGUGUACGCGUCGACAGCUAAGAACUCGGCAAUUGGCUACAUGUAUGAGUUUGACUGCAAAGCGGAAGGUCCACCAUCAAACGAUCCCGAUUGGGUCACCAUCCAGUAUGAAAAACAAUACGGCUAUAUGGCGAAAGGUCAGGGAAUUGAGACGCAAGUUUGCCCUGGGGCACCUCCAGAGACGGAUAAAGUGACAACGACUACAGCAACAACAACACCAACAUCAACCACAACAACGACGCUGACCACAUCUGCUGCUGCUCCAACCACUACCAUAACUACGGUCCCCAGCACUACAACAAUAACUUAUCCGAAUCCAACAACAACAACACCAGUACCAACAACAUCAACAACAACAACGUCUACGUCAACAACACCAACAACCCUACCGACUUCGUAUGAAACAACAACGCCGAUAUCAACAACAACAACUACACAGCCCACACAAAGUACUACAUCAUUACCUACAACCACUGAAACAUCUAAAUCCACAACAACAACAACCCCGAAACCCACUACAACGAUUCAACUCACAACAACUACUACAUCUCCUCCUACAACUACUACCACACAAACACCAACUACGACAACACCACAAACAACAACCACGACCCCCUAAACCAACAACUGCGACAACCACUCCAAUCAUCACGACAACCCCGAAACCAACAACUACUCAUAGGACUACACACUUUUAUUCAAUAUUAACAACCAUAACUAGUUCCAUUGGACCGUCCACACAAGUACAGUACGGAUGCCCAAAACGGUACUUUCAACACGCACAACUACAUCAAGGGACCCUGUUCACAGUAGACAGCACAUGUUACGAGAUUGUGCCAACGCCGGCUACGUGGAAGGAUGCGGAGGCGCAUUGUGUAGCAAGGGGAGGUCACCUAGCCCAUAUACCUGAUCAACGGCACCAGGACGCUAUAUACCAAGUGACCAUUCAACAUCUUGGACAUGACGUCUGGAUUGGAUUGAAUGACAUAAACCAGGAACGACACUAUGAGUGGUCUUCAGGUGGGUUUGGCUUCGUUUGGUAUCCACAUUUCCAAAUUUGAACACGGGAUUAAACUGUUUUUAAACCCUUUAAUUUCAAUUGAUACA